AUGGAGACAGACUGGUCGAAGCUGGCCCAGGACGCGCUCUGUCUGGUCUUCGUCAAGCUCGGCGCCGUGGAGGUCCUCACGGGUGCUGGCCUCGUGUGCCGCUCGUGGCUCCAGGCGGCCAAGCUGCCUGAUCCCCUCUGGCAGUCUCUGGACAUGGAUCACCUCCACAGCAAGUUGCCCCUGAAGAACAAACCAAACCUGCGCGCGAUGGCAAAGGAGGCUGUGGACCGCGCUAGCGGGCGGCUCGAGGCAUUCACGGCUGAAUGGUUCGUUGACGAUGAGCUGCUCGGCUACAUCGCGUCGAGGUCGCCGUCUCUAAGGAGCCUCAAGCUAGUCGACUGCAGCAUCACGAAUGGUGUAUUGAUGGAUCUCCUGGACUGCUGCCCCUACCUGGAGGUUCUUUACGUCAGCGACUGCUGCAAUAUCAUCAUAGAUGGCGCCCUGCUAGACAAGUGUGGCCGGAUCAGUGCAUUGACGCUCAUCCGCUUUUACUAUGAGUGUUGUCGAUUAGCAUGGUGA
rnacentral:rRNA from 1 species